rnacentral:rRNA from 1 species
AAUCAACGCUGGCGGCGUGCCUAACACAUGCAAGUCGAACGCGAAAGUCCCGCAAGGGAUUAGUAGAGUGGCAAACGGGUGAGUAACACGUGGGUGACCUGCCUUCGAGUGGGGGAUAACGUCCCGAAAGGGACGCUAAUACCGCAUAACAUCCUGCCUUUGAAGAGGUGGAGAUCAAAGCUGGGGACCGCAAGGCCUGGCGCUGGAAGAGGGGCCCGCGUCUGAUUAGCUAGUUGGNGAGGUAACGGCUCACCAAGGCAACGAUCAGUAUCCGGCCUGAGAGGGCGGACGGACACACUGGGACUGAGACACGGCCCAGACUCCUACGGGAGGCAGCAGUGGGGAAUUGUUCGCAAUGGGCGCAAGCCUGACGACGCAACGCCGCGUGGAGGAUGAA